UACGGAGGGUGCAAGCGUUAUCCGGAUUCACUGGGUUUAAAGGGUGCGUAGGCGGCGCGGUAAGUCGGGUGUGAAAUCUCGGGGCUUAACUCCGAAACUGCAUUCGAUACUGCCGUGCUUGAGGACUGGAGAGGAGACUGGAAUUUACGGUGUAGCGGUGAAAUGCGUAGAUAUCGUAAGGAAGACCAGUGGCGAAGGCGGGUCUCUGGACAGUUCCUGACGCUGAGGCACGAAGGCCAGGGGAGCAAACGAG
rnacentral:rRNA from 1 species